GUUUUUGAACAAUAAGAUUUUUUUAAUGUUUUUUUAAAGCAGUCUCUUCUGCUCACUAAGCCUCCAUUUAUUUGAUCCAAAAUACAGGAAACACAGUAAUAUUGUGAAAUAUUUUACUAUUUAAAAUAACUGCUUUCUAUUUGAAUAUAUUUUAAAAUGUAAUUUAUCCCUGUGAUCAAAGCAAAAUUUUCCUCAUCAGUGUUCAGUGUCACAUGAUCCUUCAGAAAUCAUUCUAAUAUGCUGAUUUGUUCAAGAAACAUUUCUUGAGUAAUUAUUUUUCCAGGAUUCUUUGAUGAAUAGAAAGAGCCAAAGAUCAGCAUUUAUCUUUAUGAUCAACAUACCAAAUAAUUAAUUCAUUAUGGUCCUUCUCCUCAUCAGGUCUGUCCCGUCGGAAGUCGGGGCGAGCUCUGAUUAUGUCAACACAGAAUUACUAAUAACCAAGGUACUAUGUAGUUCUCUAAUUUACUUGUAUGUAUAUAUAUAUAUAUAUAUAUAUAAUGUAUUUAUUUAGGAUUGAAUGGAAGAGAGAGAGAGAGAAAAUAAAAUCUUAUUCCAUUUUCCUUUUCCUCAGGAUUUGCAUUUUACCAAAAAAUGACAGUUAACAAGGUCAGACCCAAGAAGCAUCCUGACUGCCAGUUUUCAGAUUUACAUGGGCUUUGAAUAUUGAAGUGCAUCACCAAGAAAGCUUCGAAUCCGAGUCACGUCAGAAAACUUCCUCCCUCAAUCCAUAAGACAUUUGCUGACAAUACCUGAGAAUGGUUUUUUUUAAAUAACAUUUGCUGUUCAUAGUGUACUGCAUCCAGGCUCUUGCUUUCAAAUAUAAGAACUUUUUUUUUUUGACUCUGCCGUGUAAUAUACAGCUUUUUGUCAUAAUUAUUAAUGUUAGCUAUUGGUUUGUAAAUAGCGAAGUAAAUUUUACAAUAAAACUUUUACAAUUCAUAUGGUGUAUGGUGCUACAUUAUGAAUGGAACUUGUAAUUAUGGCUGAGAAAUUUAGCAAAUGCCAGCAAUAAAGAUCAACUCAGAGAAUAACAUUCAAAACACAAGACAAAAGGAGAGUUUAAAAUUUAUUUUUAUACACUUUUUUUGUAUUUUUUUUUUUUUUAACCUAUUUAUUAUUUGCUUAUUUAAUAAGGGGGUUGAGGACAAAGGGAGAGGUCAUUGUAUUUUUAUAAAAAUGUCCCUCAUUCUUUCCAUUUUUGUUUUGUCUUACACGCUCACUCAUUCCCUCUUUCUCUCUUUCCGCUUUAGACACUAAGUGUCCCCGUCCACUCAAAUUAAAAAUAACAAAACAAAAAGGAAAAAAAGAAAAAUAAUAAAACAAGCACAUUCAGUCUUGCCAGAGGUAUCUAAAAACAAAAUCUGUUCAGGUGGAUAUUAUGUACAAGUACAUAUAUAUAUACACUUAGCCAGUUCAAAGGUUUUUUAGUAACUAAUUAAGAUUUUUUUUAAUGUUUUUUUUAAAGUCAGUCUCUUCUGCUCACUAAGCCUCCAUUUAUUUGAUCCAAAAUACAGGAAACACAGUAAUAUUGUGAAAUAUUUUACUAUUUAAAAUAACUGCUUUCUAUUUGAAUAUAUUUUAAAAAUGUAAUUUAUCCCUGUGAUCAAAGCAAAAUUUUCCUCAUCAGUGUUCAGUGUCACAUGAUCCUUCAGAAAUCAUUCUAAUAUGCUGAUUUGUUCAAGAAACAUUUCUUGAGUAAUUAUUUUUCCAGGAUUCUUUGAUGAAUAGAAAGAGCCAAAGAUCAGCAUUUAUCUGUAGUAAAAAAUAUACACUAUAACAUUCAAAGCUUGGAGUAAGUAUGAUUUAUUUUUUUUUUUUGAAAAAUUAUAGAAAUGAUACUUUUAUUUAGCAAGGAUGCUUUAAAUUGAUCAAAAGUGAUGAUAAAGACAUUUAUAACGUUAAAAAAGAUUUAUAUUUCAGAUAUGUGUUUCAGAUGCUGUUCUUCUGAACUUUCUAUUCAGCAAAAAAAAAAAACUGAAAAAAUUAUAUUUGGCUGUUUUCAACAUCAUCAUCAUAAUAAUAAAUGUUUUUUGAGCAGCAAAUCAGAAUAUUAGAAUGAUCUCUGAAGGAUCAUGUGACUGGAGUAAUGAUGACAAAAAAUUCAGCUUUGAAAUUUCUGUUUGAAUAUAUUUUAAAUGUAAAGUUAUUUUAAAUAGUAAUAAUAUUUAAGAAUUGUACUGUUUUUGUUGUACUUUGGAUCAAAUAAAUGCAGGCUUGGUGAGCAGAAGAGACUUCUUUAAAAAUCUUACUGUGAAAAAACUAUAAAUAUAUUUUCCAAAUGCAGGCUGCUCUUUGAUGAACGCCAAAAAAUGGGGCUUUAUAAACACAAGAAUAGCAAAAUGUAUUACAUUAACUAAAAUCAUAAAAUGUACUAUCAAUAAUAUAAUUUAUCAAACAAAAUUUUUUAUAUGAUCAACAUACCAAAUAAUUAAUUCAUUAUGGUCCUUCUCCUCAUCAGGUCUGUCCCGUGGAAGUCGGGGCAGCUCUGAUUAUGUCAACACAGAAUUUACAAUAACCAAGGUACUAUGUAGUUCUCUAAUUUUACUGUAUGUAUAUAUAUAUAUAUAUAUAUAUAAUGUAUUUAUUUAGGAUUGAAUGGAAGAGAGAGAGAGAGAAAAUAAAAUCUUAUUCCAUUUUCCUUUUCCUCAGGAUUUGCAUUUUACCAAAAAAUGACAGUUAACAAGGUCAGACCCAAGAAGCAUCCUGACUGCCAGUUUUCAGAUUUACAUGGGCUUUGAAUAUUGAAGUGCAUCACCAAGAAAGCUUCGAAUCCGAGUCACGUCAGAAAACUUCCUCCCUCAAUCCAUAAGACAUUUGCUGACAAUACCUGAGAAUGGUUUUUUUUAAAUAACAUUUGCUGUUCAUAGUGUACUGCAUCCAGGCUCUUGCUUUCAAAUAUAAGAACUUUUUUUUUUGACUCUGCCGUGUAAUAUACAGCUUUUUGUCAUAAUUAUUAAUGUUAGCUAUUGGUUUGUAAAUAGCGAAGUAAAUUUUACAAUAAAACUUUUACAAUUCAUAUGGUGUAUGGUGCUACAUUAUGAAUGGAACUUGUAAUUAUGGCUGAGAAAUUUAGCAAAUGCCAGCAAUAAAGAUCAACUCAGAGAAUAACAUUCAAAACACAAGACAAAAG
rnacentral:lncRNA from 1 species